rnacentral:rRNA from 1 species
AGAGUUUGAUCAUGGCUCAGGACAAACGCUGGCGGCGUGCGUAACACAUGCAAGUCGGACGAGGGGGAGGCGCUUUUCGGAGGGUCUCUUUACGAGUGGCGGACGGGUGCGUAACACGUGGAUAACCUGCCCUGGUGUGGGGGAUACCCUGUAGAAAUACGGGCUAAUACCGCAUACGGUCGUUUUCGGGGAGCCGGGAG